rnacentral:lncRNA from 1 species
UUGGAGUAGAACUAACAACCCUCACAUCGGUCGACCAUAUCUUUAGCCAUCUCGUUUGCCUGCAGCCAGAAGAAACCAGCCCUGAAUGCCUUGGCGACGAUUGCUCUCGAAGAGGCAUGAUGACCGCAGGUUCCUGAGUGAAUGUCUUCCAGGAUUAGUUGCCCCUCCUCUGGGGCGAUGCAUCGUUGAAGAACGCCUGGAACGCUUUCCUUGUACAAUUGGCCAUCAAUGACAGUGAAUGACUUCGACCUGCGGACUAUCUGCCUGGCCUAGACUUUGUCUUCUGGUAGUUCCUGCCUCAGGAUAUAGGCAAUGAUCGGCACAGUCCAAUCGGGGAUGACAGCAAGAA